rnacentral:misc_RNA from 1 species
UUGCAAUACAGAGACAGAAGGAACGUGUCUCCAUUGAGCUGAGUAAAUUAGAUGCUCGAAUCAUGCGAGUAGUUGCUGGGAUGCAGCAGCUAAGAGUAGAGCUUGAGCAUGCAUGUGCCCAGGAUUACCGGAGGAUUUUAGUGACUCUGUUGAAAUCAUAUAUCCGGGCACAUCUGGAGGAUCUGGCUGAGAAGGAUGCUACCAAGAAGUCUGAUGCUGCCAGUGAAGCACUUUUGGCUGAACUUGCUCAUGAUUCCAAGAAAAGUUCUCGUCGAGGCAAUGGUUGUUCUAAGCAUACACAUGAAAAGAUGAAAGAUAAGAAAAAAAGCAAAGAGUAUCGGAAAGCCAAGGGUUCCAAGCCUGCUAGUGGAAACAAACUGCCUUUGCUUCAUCAUCGGACUAUGGAAGAUGUCUCAUUUGCAGAUGGAGAGAAUCAAGGUGAUGAAACUGCUGAAAAUGGUGAUUCCUUGAAAGAACAGGAGUAUAGACGUACUAUUGAACUUGAAGCUGAGGAAAGAAAGCUUGAAGAAACUUUGGAAUAUCAAAGACAAAUGGAGAAUGACGCUAAACUGAAGCAUCUGUCCGAGAAGAGAACAACAAAAACAUGUUUAGGGAGUAUUGAUGCAGUUAUGAAGUCUGAUACUUGCUCAAAGUGCAGUGAUGAGCAAUUGAAGAGUAGUAAGAAGAUAAACAUAUUUCCGGACAGUUCACGAAGUCUUUCAAAAAUCAGUGCUGAAGGAAUGACACACAGAACUGUAAGUCUGGAUGAGAGUACUCUGGUAUCUACUCGACGCUCUGGAAGGAGAGCAUCCCAGAACGAUUCUAAGCUUAUUGAUGGGAAUUUUCAAUCUGCUUCUGAUGAAAAGGAAAAUACUGAAGUUGGUGAACCAAGAGCUCUGCAUUCUUCACAUGGAAAUAGUGUUCCAGCAGACAGUGGAACAAAGACAUUGAGACAGCUACAUGUG